rnacentral:rasiRNA from 1 species
ACCUGAUUGAUAGCGUAGACGACGACCC